rnacentral:rRNA from 1 species
UGGUGGAGUGAUUUGUUUGGUUAAUUCCGAUAACGAACGAGACCUUAACCUGCUAAAUAGACCGGUCGGCUUUUGCUGGCCGCUGUCUUCUUAGAGGGACUAACAGCGUUUAGCUGUUGGAAGUUUGAGGCAAUAACA